rnacentral:rRNA from 1 species
UAUUAUGUACAUGCCUAUGACAUUAAUGCAACAGAUCCCAUUAGAACUUUGUAGUUAAGCUCGCUUGGGCUAGAGUAGUAUUGGGAUGGGUGAACUCUUGGGAAGUCCUAGUGUUUUACAUUCC